CUUACAUUUUAACUCAAGGAUUUGGCGGCACCCUACCUCGUUAGAGGAACCUGCCACAUAAUUGAUGGCCCACGAUUUAACCUACCCUUCCCUAACGUUUGUAUACCGCCGUCAAGAAUUUGUUAUGAAACUCGUUCUCUCAAGUUUUAGCUUGAAAAUCAGGUCAAGGUGCAGCCUAUGGAGGGGUGUUAGGUGGGUUACAUUUCGCAUGAAACGGAAAAUGGUUAGAAUAGCUAUUAAAAGUUGGAUUUAAUCGUAAGCCCGUUGGAUUAAAGGGGCUGACUGAGCUCUAGGGUGUGCACA
rnacentral:rRNA from 1 species